CUCAAAAUUUGCGUUCUACUCGAUGCUGUGUUUUCUGGCAUCAGCGAAUUCACCGUCUCUUUGAGCUCAAGAAAAUUUUCUUUUAUCCCAUCGCGACGUUUUCUUUCCAAUGCAUUGUGAUGGGCGCGCCUCUCCUCCUGAUUUACAAAUAAAUGUUACUACACUCAAUCUCCGACAAGUUCAAAAUGUAAGAGCUCAGGAUUGCAAUAACUAGAGUGACACUCGACGUUUGAGGCAGUCAGCAGCUUGGAGAACGGUAGGACCGUGAAUGACGCUGAUCACCACAUCCAGGUCUCUUUAUAUACUCGGUCAUCGCGAUCCGAGGACAGAGGACGGAGGACAGAGGAUGUCGAAUCCAACAAUCGGACAUGGAUAUUAUAUACAACUACACCAGAAAUCACUCACUACUCCAAACUAAUCAAACAAAAAAAAAAUAAAAGAAUCUUUAAAUUUAAUUUCGACGGAUACGCUGCGUAUCAAACAGACUGCAGCUGUCACCUGUCAAUCUUGUUGCUUAAUUUGAUUUUUUUUUGGAUUUACUAUGAAUCAAAUAUCAGGUACAGACGGCAAUCAAAAACAGAAAUAAAAUACUUAAUUAAAAAAAAAUAAGUUAAUGGUUUAUAAAUAAAAAUUAACGGAAAUUGUGUGAGAGGAUUUAUUACACAAAUUAAAAAAGUUUUUUUUUUUUAAAUUUAUAUGAAGGUCUUCUAUUGUAAAUUAUAGACAAUACUUCUCACAUAUUUCUUAUAAUUAGAUUUUUCUGCAUUAAUUGUUUUUUGCCACUAUUAUUUUUUUACAUUAAAACGUUUAACUCUAACUGACUAUGAAUGAACCGAUUGGUAUAAGUUGACAUUGAAAAAAGAAACCUUUUUAUUUUUAUUUACUCAUAAUUGUAAUGUGAAUCAUUAGAUUUUUUUUUAGAAUCCUAUUUUUUAUUAGACUACAAUGUUUUUGUUUAUUUUUUUACGCUUGUUAAUUUUGUAAGGAAGUAAUAUGUAGGGUAAUUAGAAAAUCGUGUAUGUUUUUUUUAUUAGCGUAUUGUUAAAUUUAUUAUGGACACGUGAGAUUUUAAUUGAUGAAUUUUUAAAAAUAAAAAUAAAAACCGUAAAUAAUUUAAAACAAAAAUUGUCGGAAUUUUUUCGGUGAGUACUCGUAAGUUUUUCGAAAUAAUUAUUAAUGACUUUAGCGAUUUAAUUAUCUAAUUAUAUUUUAAUUACUUAAUUACAAAAGAGUCUCUUAAAUCUUUUAAUUGAGUCAUCAAUUUUUGUUGCGAUUUACGAGAUCGCAAAAAAUCUCAUUUUUUUUACAGGCUUGCGAUUACGUAAUAACUGACAUCCGAAAAAAUUACGGUAAUAAAUAAUAUUUUUUGAUGACUUGAUAUAAAUUUAAAAAUACUAAAUUUAUAGACGUACAGAUUCAAAAUUAACGUUAAGCUCCAGAAUUGACAGCCGUCAGAAAUUAUAAAAAGUUGAUAAACUUAAUUCUGUUUAAAAAAAAUCAGACGGUUGAGUUAUUAAUGAAAUAAAUAAAAAAAUAUAUAUAAAUAUAAAAUAAUUUAUUUACACAUGAAGAAUACGUUGUACAAAAAAAAUAACGCAUUCUUUGGUCCAUUUUUCUAGAAUUAAAAAAAUACGUUGUAUUAAAAAUUUUUUUUACAAUAAAAAAAAUACAUUUUAUAUAUUUUUUAUUUUAUGCUUAAUUAAUUUAAUUAAUUACUGGUAAUUUUCAUUAAAUAUCAAUAAAAUUCGGUUGUUAAAAUAUUAGCUUAUAAAUAUCUUAUAAUAAUAAUAAAUAAAAUUAUAACGGAAUGAUUUAAUUUAACAAUAGUCUAACUAACUUUGAUAUUUUGAUUGCUUGUAAAUAAGUAUAAAUAUAUUUACAUUAAAGUGAUACUUCGGCUUCCGCAUCUUUUAUUUUUAAACAUUUUUUUAUUUUUCUAAAACAUAAAAAAUCAAAUUAGUUUAUUAUUUUUGUAAAAAUAAAUACUGGGUAAUUAUCAUCUAAUUACCCAGUAGUCACAGUGACUUAAUCAUGACGUUAAUGUGAUGUCUGUAUGACAUUCUAUGAUGUCAAUAUGAUGUAUGGGUGAUGUCAAAAUUAACAAUCCAGAAAAAAUAUUUUAAAAAAUUGAAAUACCGAAUUUUCGAUUUGAUUAUUACCGCGCAAACGCAUUGAAAAUUUAGAAACAAGAUGUGACAUUUCUAUGACACGUAUGACGUCAAAUUAUGGUCAUGUGUUUACUGAGUACACUGUAAAAAAUCGGGAGUGAAUUCGGAGUGAUUACGGAUUUUAUUUCAAUUCGCAUUUACCGAUUCGGAGUAUUAAUUUUAAAAUUGACUUCUUUUUGAAGUAAAUUUCACUCCGAGGGGAUUAAAUAAAUAAGCAGCCAUCCACUUAGUCCGCGUUCACUCCGGAUUUAAUCUGCAUUCACUCCGUAAAUUUUUUACUGUGUGAUAAAAAUUAAAUUUUUCACAUACUUUCCAAAAUCUUCACCAUCUUGAAGAGUUUCCGGUAGUUUACAUCCGUUGGUUUCUGGUAAAAAUAAUGCCAAGCCCGCACCAAUCAGCGGGAAUGUACCAAAAAUUAACGGAGGUAAAAAUCCUUGUACCGUACUC